rnacentral:rRNA from 1 species
GAUGAACGCUGGCGGCGUGCCUAACACAUGCAAGUCGAGCGAAGAUUACAGACGGUUGCUUUCGGGUUGUUACCUGUGAUUCUUUGAGUCGGACGGGUGAGUAACGCCUAGGCGACCUGCCCUAUACCGGGGAAUCGCAGCUGGUACCGGCUGGUAAUACCGCCUAAAUGGGUUAAAUCUCAUAAAUUGAUUUGGAAAUGCGCAAUCAGGUAUAGGAUGGGCAUGCAUCAGAUUAGCCAGUUGGCAGUGUAAAAGCCUACCAAAGCGACGAUCGGUAGCAGGACUGAGAGGACGGGCGGCCACAUUGGGAGUGAGACACGAGCCAAACUCCUACGGGAGGCAGCAGUAGGGGAUAGUGCACAAUGGAGGAAACUCUGAAGGAGCGACGCCGCGUGAGUCAAGAAGUAUUUCGGUAAGUAAAGCUCUAACAGAAGGGAAGAUGAUGACGGUACCUGACUAAGAAGCCCCGGCUAACUACGUG